UACGGAGGGUGCAAGCGUUAUCCGGAUUCACUGGAUUUAAAGGGUGCGUAGGCGGACAGGUAAGUCAGUGGUGAAAUCUCCGAGCUUAACUCGGAAACUGCCUUUGAUACUCUCUGUCUUGAAUAUGGUGGAGGUAAGCGGAAUAUGUCAUGUAGCGGUGAAAUGCUUAGAGAUGACAUAGAACACCUAUUGCGAAGGCAGCUUACUACGCCUAUAUUGACGCUGAGGCACGAAAGCGUGGGGAUCAAACAGG
rnacentral:rRNA from 1 species